rnacentral:rRNA from 1 species
UACAACUUUCAGCAACGGAUCUCUUGGCUCUCCCAUCGAUGAAGAACGCAGCGAAAUGCGAUAAGUAAUGUGAAUUGCAGAAUUCAGUGAAUCAUCGAAUCUUUGAACGCACCUUGCGCCCUUUGGUAUUCCGAAGGGCAUGCCUGUUUGAGUGUCAUUA